rnacentral:rRNA from 1 species
UCCUACGGGAGGCAGCAGUGAGGAAUAUUGGUCAAUGGUCGGGAGACUGAACCAGCCAAGCCGCGUGAGGGAGGAAGGUACAGAGUAUCGUAAACCUCUUUUGUCAGGGAACAAAGGCGGGGACGUGUCCCCGGAUGAGUGUGCCUGAAGAAAAAGCAUCGGCUAACUCCGUGCCAGCAGCCGCGGUAAUACGGAGGAUUCAAGCGUUAUCCGGAUUUACUGGGUGUAAAGGGCGUGUAGGCGGGACUGCAAGUCAGAU